GGUCCGCUGGCUCAAUGGCAGAGCGUCUGACUACGAUCAAUUUCGAGAUAUUCAGAUCUUGAAUAACCAAGUAAUCAGGAGGUUCCAGGUUCGACCCCUGGGUGGAUCG